UCACGGUGGACAUCACUGACUUUAUAUCACUCUUUACUGUUGCCAGACUCACUUUAAGGAACCUUGGAAUUGCAUUUGUAUUUCACUUUUCUUCCUAUUCCUAAUUAAGCCUUAUACAAACAAAAAUAUUUUUUUGAGAAAAAGUAUAAAGCCUAUUCUAUAUUUAUACAUUGUUUUGUUUUGCUUUAUUUAAAAAUCUUAUGAAUAUUAACUUGUUUUAAGGUAUCUGCUACCAGUGCCAUUCAAAGUUACAAGAGCAGAAAUUUAAGUUAUGGAGAAAGUGAUACACAAGAUUUUCCAGAAGAACUACAUAAUGAGAUACAUAACAGACAUAGAGCUAUCAGAGUCACAUAUAAUGUCUUGGCGGCAGCAUGUUACAAAAUGAUUUAACCAAGACCGUGGACAUACUACCCUUUUGGGUGAAUUAAAACCUAAAGAAGUUUUGAUCAUUAUGGACUGGGCCAUGAAGUUUUUGCCCUAAUUCUCUCAAGGAAAAGCAAUCAAAGUGGUUUGGUUAGAAUGGACUGAAAUGGCUUGUGUGUGUCUGCAUCUUCAAAGAUAAUGACUUGACUGAUUAUUUGGAAUAAAAAAAAAUCAUAGAAUUAUAAAGAAAAUAAUGCUUUUAAUUGGUUUUUGUCCUGCCUGU